GUGGCAGUUACCUUAGGAUCUAAGUCUUGCUUGAGCAGCUAUGUCAAUUCUCUACCUAAGUAGAAGUUCUCUGAGCUCUAGGAUAUUAAAUGCUGUCAGUCGACUAUAUAAUACUCCCAGCUAGAGCUGACUUGAGAAAUAAAGCACUAGAGCUAAGGUCCUAGAUUUCUCAUGGAGAAGCUUAGGCUACCUGUGGGAAUUGGCAAACCAAGUUUUGAUGGGUCAUAGUCAUAGCAAUCAGGUUAUGAAAGCCUUAGGCUUGGGCUUAUCCUUCCUAAAGG
rnacentral:misc_RNA from 1 species